rnacentral:rRNA from 1 species
AAACGGUGGGUACUAGGUGUGGGGGACAUUCCACGUCUCCGUGCCGUAGCUAACGCAUUAAGUACCCCGCCUGGGGAGUACGGCCGCAAGGCUAAAACUCAAAGGAAUUGAUCCUGGCUCAGGACUAACGCUGGCGGCGUGCCUAACACAUGCAAGUCGUAACAAGGUAACCAGGUCUUGACAUCCCUACGAUUUCUAUGAAAGUAGGAAGUGCCUUUUAGGAACAGCGUAGAGACAGGUGGUGCAUGGUUGUCGUCAGCUCGUGUCGUGAGAUGUUGGGUUAAGUCCCGCAACGAGCGCAACCCUCGUCCAAUGUUGCCAGCGGGUUAUGCCGGGG